CAAUUAACCAUAUUCAAAAUGAAAAAAUAGAACAAACACUAAUUUUCUGUUGAGAAAAGUAAGGAGACGUUAGUUUGUUUGCUAAAUAUCCAAACAAAAUGAUGAAGAAACGUGUUCUGUUGAGAGCAGCACCCUGGCCUCCUCUGUCUUCCGUCGCAGUUCUAUUAUCAUUCCUCUUCUUCUUCGCAGCAUUGUCGGAAUCGGCUCCCCUUUUUCCUCAAACCCUCAUUUCUGACGCCGAUGUGCUGAAUUAGAUUUUUCAUGGGCAAUUUGAUAAGUGUAUAAUAAGUAGCUUUACUAACCUUCGAAUUUCUACCCAAAUCCCCAAUUCCAAGUUCGAAGUCGAUUUUGUUGUGAGAGAUAAGAGAUGGAUGCAUCAACUGAUGAUACGAAUCCGGAGGAGGACGCUCGCACCACCACCUCCACCGCCGUCAGCACGACGCCAGAGUACAACAGCAGCAGCGUCAAGAAGGCUAGAUUGGAAUCAACCCUGGCGGCGCUUCUCACUGAUCCAGUUCUCGCCGACGUGCCAAAGAAACCUUUUCUUUCCGACGUCGACACACUCAUCAAUUUGGAGCUCGGAAGCGCCAUGCGUCUCACUGUCCUCAAAUUGGAUGGGACAUCCUUCGAUGUGGCCUUGAUGAAUACUGCGACUUUGAAGGACCUGAAAUUGGCAGUUAAGAAAAAAGUAAAUGAAAUGGAGGAGUCGAAUAUGGGCCAUCGUCAAAUUUCGUGGAGACACGUGUGGGCAAAUUUUUGCCUUUUGUACCACAACGAGAAACUGCUCGAUGACAAUUGUUCACUUCAUGAUUAUGGCAUCAGGAACAAUUCUCAGGUGCAAUUCAUCCCUUAUGUUGUUUCGAAAGCUUCUGGAAGACACUCUAGGAGCAGAAAGCACCUCUUUCAUGGUUUAAACAGAAAAUCUUAAGACUACCUAGUCCUGGAAUCUGUAUACUUAGCUGGAGCAUGGCAGCAAAGCAGACGAGCCUAGCCCAUAUGAAUGCCACAAUUGAGCUGGACUAAAGAAAGAGUUUCUAUCAACUGAUGUAUAACAUCUAGAACCUUUCCAUGAGGAUUGAAAAACUUAGGAAAGAAGUCUAUCUCUGCAGGUAUGUUUCAGUUAUAGACUUAAAUUCUAUCACAAGAUGAAUGAAAAAUGUAGUCUUGGACUUGUUGAUUGUCAGAUAUUGGUAGAGCUCAACAAGGUUUGCCCCAUCUUCAACCUCUCCUUAUACUCUUUCAAUUCCUUCUGGUACCUUUCCUUAUCCUUUAAGCCAUAGUUCUGGUAAACCUGCACCAAUAUUCAUACUUAGGAAUCACAGAAAAAAGUUGGCAUUAUGUUUCAAUAUCACUUAUACUACUCACCACUCUUUCUUCAGGGGAGAGUUUGUUCCACGACUCGCCUAUCAUUUUGGUGAACUCCCUUUCCCUAUUUGGGUAGAGAGAUUUGAGCGCCGAGUGUUUCUCUGCGAAAAAGAAGUUGUAGCCACUCCUGUUGGGUUUGGGACGGCCCGGGUCACCCAACCUUCUCCUUCUUGUCCGACGACCUGGUUGAUGAAGCACCGGAGUAUAAGGCACGAGGGCAGUGCACGUUGGAGGGGCUGUGGCAGCACCACCUGGAUUGCCCGGGUGGUAUAGCACGCCAUUGAGCGUCUCAUUUCCCAACUUAACUGAAAUCAGUGGUAUAUUGCAAGUUUUGCAAUCUCCAGCGGGAGUCGGCGGAUCACUUGUUUCUCCUUUGUCCGAAGACCACAGAGAUCUGGGAGGAGAUUCAUAAUUGGCUUGGAUACACAACGGUAAGACCAAAUAUGGUUGGGAAGCACUUUGAAUCGUUUGUGAAUCUGAAUAGUGGAAAGAAGAUUGGGAAGCUUUUGAUGACGGUAUGGGUUUGCACCAUUUGGCUGCUGUGGAGACAAAGAAAUGAAAACAGAUUUGAGGCUGUCGGGUGGGAGACAAAGAGUGUCAUUUCGAAGAUUAAAUUGAGGACUUGGAGUUGGAAUAAAUUCUUUGAGAUUCUUUCAAACAAGCUUUCUUUUUCUGAUUGGUGUUCCAAUGAUUUGGUCACCACCCUCUUGUAAUUCCAAUUCUGGUACAUCUGGUACCUUUUAACAAAAUCGUUUCUUUUCUGAUUUAAAAAAAAAAAAAAAAGGCACACUCACCAUAUAGAUCACUUGCACAGACAACUCACAUGUACCGUAUAUAUAUAGCGGUAGCAAGCAAUUUCAGUUG